CUUCAUGACUGCGCCUCCAUGGACAUGCUUGAUCUUCAUCUUGUCUGAUCUGAGAAGCUAAAUACGGUCGGGUCCAGUUAGUCCUUGGAUGGCAGAUUUCUUGGGACCACCAGGUGCUGUAAGUU
rnacentral:rRNA from 1 species